CUUGGCAGGGGUGUGUGGCGGAGAAGAAGGGGGGAAAAGGCAUCUGCUGUUGUUUUUGAGGAGCUUCUCUCCCCCAUCUUUUUCAGCCGCUGCUGCUCGUUUUCUGUGUUGUUUC
ensembl:ncRNA Y67D8C.15 ncRNA